rnacentral:rRNA from 1 species
UACGAGGGGUCCUAGCGUUGUUCGGAAUCAUUGGGCGUAAAGGGUGCGUAGGUUGCUAUUCAAGUCAGUUGUGAAAUCCCCGGGCUCAACCCGGGAAGUGCUUCUGAUACUGUUUAGCUUGAGUACUGGAGAGGAUAGUAGAAUUCCAGGUGUAGUGGUGAAAUACGUAGAUAUCUGGAGGAAUACCGGUGGCGAAGGCGGCUAUCUGGCCCGAUACUGACGCUGAGGCACGAAAGCGUGGGGAGCAAACAGG